AUGGUCUCCAGGCUCUUCUGCUGUGUGGCCCUUUGUCUCCUGGGAACAGGCCCAGUGGACUCUGGAGUCACGCAAACCCCAAAACACCUGAUCAAAGCAAGGGGACAGCAAGUGACACUGCAAUGCUUUCCUAUGUCUGAACACCUCUCUGUGUCCUGGUACCAACAGCACCUGGACCAGGGUCCCCAGUUCCUCAUCCAGUAUUAUAACGGGGAACAGAGGGAAAAAGGAAACAUCCCUGCUCGAUUCUCAGGACAGCAGUUUCGUGACUAUCACUCUGAAAUGAACCUGAGCUCCUUGGAGCUGGGGGACUCGGCCCUGUUCCUCUGUGCCAGCAGCUUAGCACAGCCCUGCCUGAUCUUCAGCCUUCUGUACAAAAACACCCCUGCCCCCGCUCAGGAAGUGACCCUGAGGGCGGGUGCAGCCAGCCAGAGGGCUCCCUGGGGCCCUGGCUACAAUGUCUCUAGAUCAGACAUGGAGGAUUUCCCCCUCACGCUGGAGUCAGCUACCCCCUCCCAGACAUCUGUGUACUUCUGCGCCAGCUCCUCUCGGUUAGGAGGAACU